rnacentral:rRNA from 1 species
GAUAUUGCGCAAUGGGGGCAACCCUGACGCAGCAACGCCGCGUGACGGAUGAAGGUUUUCGGAUUGUACACUUCUUUUAUUAAGGACGAAAUUUGACGGUACUUAAUGAUUAAUUUCUGNCUAACUACGUGCCAGCAGCCGCGGUAAUACGUAGGGAGCAAGCGUUGUCCGGAUUUACUGGGUGUAAAGGGUGCGUAGGCGGCUUUGCAAGUCAGAUGUGAAAUCUAUGGGCUCAACCCAUAAACUGCAUUUGAAACUGUAGAGCUUGAGUGAAGUAGAGGCAGGCGGAAUUCCCCGUGUAGCGGUGAAAUGCGUAGAGAUGGGGAGGAACACCAGUGGCGAAGGCGGCCUGCUGGGCUUUAACUGACGCUGAGGCACGAAAGCGUGGGUAGCAAA